UAACACAGUAUUAUAGGAAAC
rnacentral:piRNA from 1 species